UGGUCAUUUCUCCUUACUAAUCAUAUAUCACUCCAAUCCGUCACCGUUCCCCACCUCCGGCACUCCCUGAACCGCCGGUCGCCAAACAAAAAUUAAAAAAUAAUGAUUAAAAAAAGAUUUUUCAAUUAAUUGAAAUUACUGUGAGAGCGAGAGAGAGAACUGGCAAUGCGAGAGUGGCUAAGCACAGACAAUCGAGCCAUCACGGCAACAACUCAAACGGCACGUCGCCCAGUGACCACGUGUCCAUCGGCAUUCGAAGCACGACGGCGCGCUCCGAUAAGUCUGGUCGCCGACUCUCUGUCGCCUCCGUCUCCGUCUUCCUCUUGCUCGUGCUCCUCGUCACUCUCUUAGCCUACUUUUACAUCUCUGGAUAUAACACUGACGAUGCUGUUGUUCAUACUGAUAAGGAAGACACGAUUAGUUACCAUGCUGUGGAUGGUGAGUUGAUGAAUGAAAUUGAUUUUCUUACUAAUGUGACACGGAGGGACACAUUUAAAGUUCUUGGAUUUGGCAAGGGCUCAGUAAUGCAGGGAAGAGAUUCAAGAUAUUGGGAUAAGGAUGAUAGGAGAAGGGAUGAUGAUUACAAUGAGGAUGAAGUAGAACGUUCUAGCACGGCUGCAAAGGGUGGAAGUAAUAAUAUGGGCAAAGUUAAUGGUGAAUGGCAACAAGAAGAUUUCUCAUGAUGAUCCACACAAGGGUUUAUAUGGAAAAGGAGUUGAUUUGUAUAACAAAGCUGGGCGUGAUGAAUUGAAAAUAUAUGAAGCAAAAUAUGAAGCAUCCCUAAGGAAUUUGGGCCGAUCAGAAAAUGCCAAAGGAAUUGGAAAUCAACAGUCUGAAGAUAAAGAUUUUGAGAUGCAAAGUGAGGCUAUUGAUGUUGAUGAUGAGUAUGAUAAUAAUGCUGAAUUUCAUGAUACUCAAGUGGAAUAUGAUGAUUCUGGUCAUAACAAAGGGGAUGACUCAGAUUUAGCAAAAAUCCACAAUCAGAUUCAUAUGGACUCAUCUGAUUUUCAUGAUGCUCAAAUGAAGGAUCAAGAUUUUCUCAAGGAAGUUGAGGAAACCUCAAACAAAUGAUUUGCAGACUCUUCUAUAAAAUCUCAAAAUUUAGGCAAUUCUGAUACACAUCAUUGAGAGGUCCGUAUUAUUGGUGGCAAAUCUACAAAGAGUUCACGAUCAGAAUCAAAAACAAAAAAACGCCGUAAAUUUUCUGAGCGACUGAGGAAAGAAAAUUAUGCGUGUUUCGUUUGAAGAGAAGACUUCCUGCUUUCUUUGGCUGAUCGGUUUAGAGCUCAUUUUUCAGAGUCCUGCAACUCUUUCAAAGCUGGUCUUGCAUAGGAUAUUGCUUGUUUUUUCAAAGAAUUUUUUUUAACAUGAGCAGCCAAAGAGGUUCUUUGAAUGGGUCUUCUUCUUCUGUCAGAUGGAAAAACGAUGUAUUUCUGAACUUUCAAGUUGAAGACACUGGUAAAAGAUUCACAGAUCAUCUAUUUGCUGCUAUGGUUCUGAAAGGAUUUAAAGUAUUUAAGGGCGACAAAGAACUUGAAGGGGAAACUCCCAUUUCAAUGGAACUCGUCGAAACAAUUGAAGAAUCAAGAAUUUCAUUUGUUGUUUUCUCAAGAUGCUAUGCUGCAUGUACUUGGUGCUUGAAUGAACUAGCUAAGAUUGUCGAAUGCAUGAAAAUAAGGCGACAAAUAGUCAUUCCGAUUUUCUAUGAUGU